UACGUAGGGGGCUAGCGUUGUCCGGAAUCAUUGGGCGUAAAGAGCGUGUAGGCGGUCCGGUAAGUCCGCUGCGAAAGUCGGGGGCUCAACCCUCGAAUGCCGGUGGAUACUGUCGGGCUAGAGUGCGGAAGAGGCGAGUGGAAUUCCUGGUGUAGCGGUGAAAUGCGCAGAUAUCAGGAGGAACACCUAUUGCGAAGGCAGCUCGCUGGGACGUAACUGACGUUGAGACGCGAAAGCGUGGGGAGGCAAACAGGAGUUAGAAACCCU
rnacentral:rRNA from 1 species